rnacentral:rRNA from 1 species
GACGAACGCUGGCGGCGUGCUUAACACAUGCAAGUCGAGCGGUAAGGCCCUUUCGGGGGUACACGAGCGGCGAACGGGUGAGUAACACGUGGGUGACCUGCCCUUAGCUCUGGGAUAAGCCUGGGAAACUGGGUCUAAUACCGGAUAUGACUCCAUGACGCAUGUUGUGGGGUGGAAAGCCUUGUGCGGCUAGGGAUGGGCCUGCGGCCUAUCAGCUUGUUGGUGGGGUGANGGCCUACCAAGGCGACGACGGGUAGCCGGCCUGAGAGGGCGACCGGCCACACUGGGACUGAGACACGGCCCAGACUCCUACGGGAGGCAGCAGUGGGGAAUCUUGCGCAAUGGGCGAAAGCCUGACGCAGCGACGCCGCGUGGGGA